rnacentral:rRNA from 1 species
UUCAAAGUCGUGCACGCCGGAGCAUGUCCUCUCACAUAACACAAUCCAUCUCACCCUUUGUGCACCCACCGCGUGGGCCCCUUUGGGAUCAGGCCGAUCUCUCAGGGAACUCGCGUUUUCACACAACACCCCCCCCCUUUAAAAAGUGUAGAAUGACCUCAUUUAUGCGAUCAAUACAACUUUCAACAACGGAUCUCUUGGCUCUCGCAUCGAUGAAGAACGCAGCGAAAUGCGAUACGUAAUGUGAAUUGCAGAAUUCAGUGAAUCAUCGAAUCUUUGAACGCACCUUGCGCCCCUUGGUAUUCCGAGGGGCACACCCGUUUGAGCGUCGUGAAAUUCUCAACCUCCUCGGUUUCUUCUGGAGACUGAAGGAGGCUUGGACUUUGGAGGCCUUUGCUGGCAUCUCUUGCCAGCUCCUCUUAAAUGAAUUAGCGGGGUCCUCUUUGCCGACCCUUGACAUGUGAUAAGAUGCUUCCGUGUCUCGGUUUCUGGCUCUGUUGCCUUUGGGACCCGCUUCUAACCGUCUGGACCUUGCGUCAGAGACAAUGUUCGAGCUCGUCUCCCUUCUCGGGAAACCCCCUCGACCUCACGAA